UAAAAAGCUUGAUCCUGGCUCAGGGAGACGUAUCUUGCUAGCCGUAUAAUUUGAUCCUGGGUGAGUAAUGCUUACGAAUCUGCCUAUUAGUGGGGGACAACAUUUCGAAAGGAAUGCUAAUACCGCAUACGUCCUACGGGAGAAAGCAGGGGAUCUUCGGACCUUGCGCUAAUAGAUGAGCCUAAGUCGGAUUAGCUAGUUGGUGGGGUAAAGGCCUACCAAGGCGACGAUCUGUAGCGGGUCUGAGAGGAUGAUCCGCCACACUGGGACUGAGACACGGCCCAGACUCCUACGGGAGGCAGCAGUGGGGAAUAUUGGACAAUGGGCGCAAGCCUGAUCCAGCCAUGCCGCGUGUGUGAAGAAGGCCUUAUGGUUGUAAAGCACUUUAAGCGAGGAGGAGGCUACUUUAGAUAAUACCUAGAGAUAGUGGACGUUACUCGCAGAAUAAGCACCGGCUAACUCUGUGCCAGCAGCCGCGGUAAUACAGAGGGUGCAAGCGUUAAUCGGAUUUACUGGGCGUAAAGCGCGCGUAGGCGGCUAAUUAAGUCAAAUGUGAAAUCCCCGAGCUUAACUUGGGAAUUGCAUUCGAUACUGGUUAGCUAGAGUGUGGGAGAGGAUGGUAGAAUUCCAGGUGUAGCGGUGAAAUGCGUAGAGAUCUGGAGGAAUACCGAUGGCGAAGGCAGCCAUCUGGCCUAACACUGACGCUGAGGUGCGAAAGCAUGGGGAGCAAACAGGAUUAGAUACCCUGGUAGUCCAUGCCGUAAACGAUGUCUACUAGCCGUUGGGGCCUUUGAGGCUUUAGUGGCGCAGCUAACGCGAUAAGUAGACCGCCUGGGGAGUACGGUCGCAAGACUAAAACUCAAAUGAAUUGACGGGGGCCCGCACAAGCGGGGGAGCAUGUGGUUUAAUUCGAUGCAACGCGAAGAACCUUACCUGGCCUUGACAUAGUAAGAACUUUCCAGAGAUGGAUGGUGCCUUCGGGAACUUACAUACAGGUGCUGCAUGGCUGUCCUCAGCUCGGGUCGUGAAAUGUUGGGUUAAGUCCCGCAACCAACGCACCCUUUCCUUAUUUGCCAGCGAGAAUGUCGGGAACUUUAAGGAACUGCCAUGACAACUGGAGGAAGCGGGGACAACUCAAGCUUUAUGGCCUUACGGC
rnacentral:rRNA from 1 species